rnacentral:ncRNA from 1 species
AAUUUAAAAUUUAUUAAUAAAUUAUAUUAUAGUUUUUAAAUUAAUUGAAUUAAUGAAUUAUAUAUAAAAUAUAUUAUUAUUAAAAAUAAAGAUUUUAUUUAAUAAAUAAUUCUGAAACAAUAAAUGAAAGUUUAAUUCGGAAAUUAAUUUUAGUAAAGAUAAAUAUGAGUGCCAGCAAUAGCGGUUAAACUCGAUUUACAAAUUAAUUUAUUCUAAUAAAAUUAAUAUUAUUUAAAUAAAAAUUAUAAUUAAAUAUAUUUGAUUAAAAGUGAAAUUUGAAAUUAAUAAUUAAUAGUUAUAAUUUAAAUAAAUAUAAAUUAGAAAUUUUAGUAAAAAACUAGGAUUAGAUACCCUACUAUAAAAAAGUAAUCAAUUUAUUAAGCAAUUAAAUGUUGAAUCAUUAAAAUUAAAUAAUAUGGCGGCUUUUUAUAUCUAAUUAGAGAAACUUGUCUAUUAAUUUGAUAAUCCACGAUAAGAAAUACUUAAGUUUUAAUUUAUGUAUUGUUGUUUUAACUGGCUCGAAUAAAUUUUAGUUAGAGAUAUUUUAUAUAAUAGUAAUUCAAAUCAAAAUGUAGUAUACUUAAGGUGACGAUGAGUUUCAAUAAAUUUAAUUUUUGGAAUAUUUAUUUUAAUAUAAAUAUAAAAGAGAAUUUAAAAGUAAAUUAAAGUAAUUUCUUUAAUUGAAGAUAGUUUUGAAAAGUGUACAAAUCGCCCGUCAAUUUCAUUUCAAGUUGAAAUAAGUCGUAACAUAGUAAAAGUACUGGAAAGUGUUUUUAGAAUU